rnacentral:rRNA from 1 species
GACGAACGUUGGCGGCGUGCUUAAUACAUGCAAGUCAACUGAAGCAGUGGUAGCAAUAUCGCUGUGGAGGUGGCGCACGGGUGAGUAACACGUAGGUAAUCUGCCUUCAGGUCUGGCAUAACUCCGGGAAACCGGGGCUAAUAGCAGAUGAUGCAGCGGCUCGACAUCGAGACAGUUGUUAAAGCUAUGGCGCCUGAAGAUGAGCCUGCGUCUGAUUAACUAGUUGGCGGGGUAACGGCCCACCAAGGCAACGAUCAGUAGCUGGUCUGAGAGGAUGAUCAGCCACACUGGAACUGAGACACGGUCCAGACUCCUACGGGAGGCAGCAGUAAGGAAUAUUGCUCAAUGGGAGAAAUCCUGAAGCAGCAACGCCGCGUGAGGGACGAAGGGCUUUUGCUUGUAAACCUCUGUAGUGAGAGAAAAAAAUCCCAAUCUUUGGGACAUGAUGGUAUCUCAAAAGUAAGCCCCGGCUAACUACGUG